rnacentral:rRNA from 1 species
UACAGAGGUGGCAAGCGUUGUUCGGAAUUAUUGGGCGUAAAGAGCGUGUAGGCGGCCAGGUAGGUCUGCUGUGAAAACUCGAGGCUCAACCUCGAGAUGUCGGCGGAAACCAUCUGGCUAGAGUCCGGAAGAGGAGAGUGGAAUUCCUGGUGUAGCGGUGAAAUGCGCAGAUAUCAGGAAGAACACCCGUGGCGAAGGCGGCUCUCUGGGACGGUACUGACGCUGAGACGCGAAAGCGUGGGGAGCGAACAGG